GACGAACGCUGGCGGCGUGCUUAACACAUGCAAGUCGAACGGAAAGGCCCUGCUUUUGUGGGGUGCUCGAGUGGCGAACGGGUGAGUAACACGUGAGUAACCUGCCCUUGACUUUGGGAUAACUUCAGGAAACUGGGGCUAAUACCGGAUAGGAGCUCCUGCUUCAUGGUGGGGGUUGGAAAGUUUCGGCGGUUGGGGAUGGACUCGCGGCUUAUCAGCUUGUUGGUGGGGUAGUGGCUUACCAAGGCUUUGACGGGUAGCCGGCCUGAGAGGGUGACCGGCCACAUUGGGACUGAGAUACGGCCCAGACUCCUACGGGAGGAAGCAGUGGGGAAUAUUGCACAAUGGGCGGAAGCCUGAUGCAGCAACGCCGCGUGCGGGAUGACGGCCUUCGGGUUGUAAACCGCUUUCGCCUGUGACGAAGCGUGAGUGACGGUAAUGGGUAAAGAAGCACCGGCUAACUACGUG
rnacentral:rRNA from 1 species